GAAGACUUCCACCACCACUUGCAGUCGUCAAUGGACAUCUGCUGUAUUGACAGUUUGAAUCUAUAGAUUCAAGUGGAAUCUGAAGUCCUAUGAUAUAGUGGAAGCA